UACGGAGGGUGCGAGCGUUGUCCGGAAUCACUGGGCGUAAAGGGCGCGUAGGCGGCAUGCCAAGCGUGUGGUGAAAGCCCGGGGCUCACCCCGGGUCGGCUGUGCGGACUGGCGUGCUCGAGCACUGUAGGGGCGGGUGGAAUUCCGGGUGUAGCGGUGGAAUGCGUAGAUAUCAGGAGGAACACCUGCGGUGUAGACGGCUUACUGGACCGUAACUGACGCUGAGGCACGAAAGCGUGGGUAGCAAACAGG
rnacentral:rRNA from 1 species